GUAAGUCUGAGAGAGAGCAUUCAUUGAGAGCAUGCUCUGUGUCAGCCAUUGUGGUGAAUACUGUAUAUCUCUAGUACCUUUUCAUCUUCACCUCAUGCCCAGGAGGGGCUACGCAGGGAUGAGCACAGUGAUCCGAAAACACAAGGUUUGGUGAGAGGCAAAGAUGGAGCUGGGCUCGAGCUUUGGUGGAAUUUGAAUAAGCAAAAGGGACAACAUAUGAUUUGUUUUAUUUGGUACCCAAAGGUCUGUGCAUUGAACUUCAGCUGUAAGGGAUUCAGUACUUUGAGUGUAUUACUGCAGCUAUGAAGAAGGAGCCCCAUAAUGAGGAGGAGCUGCUUCCACGGGGAUCUGUUGUCUUCCAAGGACUUCAUUCAAGCAUCCUCGUUCUGUUUCUGAGCAAACCAGCUAGUGAGGUGUGACUACUGACUGGCACUUCUCUUCCGUUUGAGAUGAAGGAAACGCCACAGAGAACUGGAUUCUCUUGCUCAACACCAUGCAGCUUACCCCAUGCAGCACCUGACUCUAAUCCAGUUUGCUGGUCCAGGGGAUUGAACCCAGGUUCUCUCACUUGCUAAGCACUGGCUCUAUCAUUCACCUACACCCCCGGUCUGGCUUCACAAAUUUAUAUAAAUUCCUUUUGAGAUAUGUUACUAGAAUGCCCUUGACAUUAUGGCCAAUAUACAGCCCAGGUUGGCCUCAAACUUGCAGCAAUCCUCUUGACUCAGCCUCAUCCUCCUGCCUCAGACUGCUGAGGGUUGGGAUUACAGCGCUGAGAACUGACCCCAGAGCCUCAGGCAGACAAUAGAAGGAAAUGGAAGAUUGGCUCUGAAAGGUUAAUUUACUUCUCUAAAGUCACAGUGUUGGAGCGGCUAUACCAAGGUCUCAUUUCUAAUCCUUUCUAUGCUCCAUCAUUAAACUGCUGACAGAUUUCCUAGGACUUUUGUUUGAAGACAGUAAUAUUCUUUCAAACAUUUUUAUAUGGGAGGAAAAUAACCCUACAAUCAAUGACCUCUGUGCUUCCCUCUGUCACAAUAUUAACCAAAAAACAAGUGACAAACUAAUAAUUGGAUUGUCAGGGUUUUUGUCUUCAAGGGUUAGGAGACAAAUUUAGAGGAAAGGGGGGUAUUUUUUUUUUUUU
rnacentral:lncRNA from 1 species